CGUUCCGUCCGGAAAAUAAUUCUAAAUUAUGAGAUUUUUGGCCGGAAUAGGAUCGGAUUUUUAGAUUUUUCCGUUAGAACCAAAUUCGAAUUUCUGUCGGAUCGGAUCGGAUUCACAUUUGACGACCCUUGUGGGACACUAACACAUUUGCAUCACGUACAAUAUUAUCGUGUUAACGGAAUAACGGCGAAACAAAUCUAC